CAUUCUUAGGUUACUCAUAUUAACCUUAAAAUACAAGUAUAAAAUUUAUUACCAGUCUAGCUUCGAUCACAUAUUUGAUUAGGUACAUUACUGGGUUCUAAGUUUUUUCUCAACAUAAUCAUCUUAUGGAUUUGUUCUGUGUUCUUGAGAAGCUUUGACUCAUAGAUGUGGCUGUAUUUUGUGGUAGUCAGAAAAUGGUGUAUGAGUAUUUAUCAUUCUUCCAAUGCUGGAUAGUUUUUUCUAGUCAAGUGCAUACUUCAAUUAGAGCACUCAAUGCUAUUUAGUUGUUAUUUUGAGGCCAAACUUAACAGAGGAACCAAAUUUUAAAGAAAAAUUUGGGGUAACAGGACUCUGUUAUAUCUUAAGGACCAUUUACUUUGGAUUUUUCACCUCACAUUGCCAAACUAUGCUUCCGAUCUCGCUUAGCCUCCAAAAGUAAAUACUUGUCAAAUUUUCAUGCUACACAACCUUGGUUGUUCCAUCACUUUAGUAUUGUACAGUCAUGCUUUUUGAUGAUCCUGUACACUCACUACCCUUAACUGUUCUUUGCAAUUCCGGUUUUUCAAGUUCCCUAUGAUUGAACCAAAAAAGAAACAAAGAAAAGUUCUGCUUCUAGUUAAUUUCUUUUCAGCAGCCAACAAUGAUACUGCUAGAAUAAUUGAUGGGAGGUCUGCUGCCGAGGAAAUUAAAUCAAGCAUAGCUAUAGAAG
rnacentral:misc_RNA from 1 species